rnacentral:rRNA from 1 species
UGGGGAAUAUUGGACAAUGGGAGAAAGCCUGAUCCAGCCAUGCCGCGUGAGUGAUGAAGGCCCUAGGGUUGUAAAGCUCUUUCGCCCGCGAAGAUAAUGACGGUAGCGGGAGAAGAAGCCCCGGCUAACUUCGUGCCAGCAGCCGCGGUAAUACGACGGGGGCUAGCGUUGUUCGGAAUCACUGGGCGUAAAGCGUACGUAGGCGGAUCGUUAAGUCAGGGGUGAAAGCCUGGAGCUCAACUCCAGAACUGCCUUUGAUACUGGCGAUCUUGGGUCCGGGAGAGGUGAGUGGAACUGCUAGUGUAGAGGUGAAAUUCGUAGAUAUUAGCAAGAACACCAGUGGCGAAGGCGGCUCACUGGCCCGGUACUGACGCUAAGAUACGAAAGCGUGGGGAGCAAACA